GUGCUCAAUUCGGCAGCACGUAUAAGAAAACUGGAACAACACAGAGAAGAUUAGCAUGUCCUCUGCGCAAGGAUGACACACAAAUUCGUGAAGCGUUCCAUAUUUUU
ensembl:snRNA U6 U6 spliceosomal RNA